rnacentral:rRNA from 1 species
GGUUGAACCUCGAAUCAGGUAGGAAUACCCGCUGAACUUAAGCAUAU